AGGACGCUGCCCGGCGCGGAGUGGCUGCCCUGCGCGGGGACACUCAGAGCCCGGUGGGCAGGAGGAAGGCGGCAUGCCCCAGACGGUGAUCCUCCCGGGCCCUGCGCCCUGGGGCUUCAGGCUCUCAGGGGGCGUAGACUUCAACCAGCCUUUGGUCAUCACCAGGAUUACACCAGGAAGCAAGGCGGCAGCUGCCAACCUGUGUCCUGGAGAUGUCAUCCUGGCUAUUGACGGCUUUGGGACAGAGUCCAUGACUCAUGCUGAUGCGCAGGACAGGAUUAAAGCAGCAGCUCACCAGCUGUGUCUCAAAAUUGACAGGACGGGAACUACUUUGAACACAAGCACAACAUUCGGCCCAAACCCUUCGUGAUCCCGGGCCGAAGCAGGUCAUACGCGCUGAGACUGUGGAGUUUGCAGUGCAUGCUUCUUAAAUCAGUUCUUACUAAUCAUCAAGAAAAGUAACUGGUAGAUGUUUGGAGUGGCUUUUCUCAUUGCGAAGCUUAUUUCAAA
rnacentral:sRNA from 1 species